rnacentral:rRNA from 1 species
UGGGGAAUCUUGCGCAAUGGCCUAACGGCUGACGCAGCGACGCCGCGUGAGGGAUGAAGCUCUUCGGAGUGUAAACCUCUUUUGCCCGGGACGAACUGCCAGAUUUAUCUGGCUUGACGGUACCGGGUGAAUAAGCACCGGCUAACUCCGUGCCAGCAGCCGCGGUAAUACGGGGGGUGCGAGCGUUGUCCGGAAUCACUGGGCGUAAAGGGCGCGUAGGUGGUCUGAUAAGGGUGUGGUGAAAGCCCGGGGCUCAACCCCGGGUCGGCCGUGCCGACUGUUAGACUGGAGUGCUGUAGGGGCAGGCGGAAUUCCGGGUGUAGCGGUGGAAUGCGUAGAGAUCCGGAGGAAGACCGGUGGCGAAGGCGGCCUGCUGGGCAGUUACUGACACUGAUGCGCGACAGCGUGGGGAGCAAACAGG